GCCGGGCGUGGUGGCUCACGCCUGUAAUCCAAGCACUUUGGAGGCUAAGGCAGGCGGAUCACUUCAGGUCGGGAGUUCAAGACCAGCCUGACCAACAUGGUGAAACCCCGUCUUUU
ensembl:misc_RNA Metazoa_SRP Metazoan signal recognition particle RNA